rnacentral:tRNA from 1 species
CGCAAUGUAGUGUAAAUGGCUAACAUAUGAGCCUCAUGACCUCAUGAUAUACGUUCAAGACGUAUCAUUGCUA